UCAAGAUGCCAUAAACUGGAAAUUAUUUGACGUCAUCAGAGUUCAGAAGUUAAGCUGGGUGAGGCCUAGUUAAUACUUGGAUGAGAAACCAUCUGAUAAUACCAGGGAUCUGCAC
rnacentral:rRNA from 1 species